UAGUGGCGAACGGGUGAGUAACACGUGGGCAAUCUGCCCUUCACUCUGGGACAAGCCCUGGAAACGGGGUCUAAUACCGGAUAACACUCUGUCCCGCAUGGGACGGGGUUGAAAGCUCCGGCGGUGAAGGAUGAGCCCGCGGCCUAUCAGCUUGUUGGUGGGGUGAUGGCCUACCAAGGCGACGACGGGUAGCCGGCCUGAGAGGGCGACCGGCCACACUGGGACUGAGACACGGCCCAGACUCCUACGGGAGGCAGCAGUGGGGAAUAUUGCACAAUGGGCGAAAGCCUGAUGCAGCGACGCCGCGUGAGGGAUGACGGCCUUCGGGUUGUAAACCUCUUUCAGCAGGGAAGAAGCGAGAGUGACGGUACCUGCAGAAGAAGCGCCGGCUAACUACGUGCCAGCAGCCGCGGUAAUACGUAGGGCGCAAGCGUUUGUCCGGAAUUAUUGGGCGUAAAGAGCUCGUAGGCGGCUUGUUGCGUCGGNUUGUGAAAGCCCGGGGCUUAACCCCGGGUCUGCAGUCGAUACGGGGCAGGCUA
rnacentral:rRNA from 1 species